GUCCACGCCGUAAACGAUGAUAACUAGCUGUCCGGGCACUUGGUGCCUGGGUGGCGCAGCUAACGCAUUAAGUUAUCCGCCUGGGGAGUACGGUCGCAAGAUUAAAACUCAAAGGAAUUGACGGGGGCCUGCACAAGCGGUGGAGCAUGUGGUUUAAUUCGAAGCAACGCGCAGAACCUUACCAGCGUUUGACAUGGAUAGUUUGGUUUCCAGAGAUGGAUUCCUUCAGUUAGGCUGGCUAUCACACAGGUGCUGCAUGGCUGUCGU
rnacentral:rRNA from 1 species